ACAAAAAAAAACUACCCAAGUUGAAAAUAAAAUCCAUUUCACAUGGUGACUAUAAACCCCACAAAAGAAAAUAACUCACGUCGUUUGCUGAUAUACUGCGGGAGGGACUCCAAAAUGGCUGCUCUACAGGGUAAAAUACGCCUCCUCUGUGGUGGUAAGUUCUGUGUAAAAGGCGCUGUGAACGGCUGAUUUCAACAUUUCACCAAAAUUACUAACAACUUGCACCAAAUGAUAAAUUUGGUGCAUGUCCACGAAAACCAAAGUGAAAAAAAAAAGGGUAAAAAUAAACUGUCAACCGGCAAAAUUGAUAAAUACCCCCCAUAAUGUGCAAAUCAUUUCCUAAUCUUCUCCGCCUUGCAGCUCCUGUUUGUAUUUAGAAAUAAUGCAAAGGCAGAAAGAAAAAGAGGGACGCUCUCUGGUGUGCUGCUGUAGAAAAAAAUGGACAGAACCCACCACCUCGUUCUGGGUGUCACACUUGAUCCACUGGGGUGGUCCGACAGAACAAGUGAGACCUUAUGAAGGUUGUGCGGUACUAGAAGUUAAAAAGUAAUUUAUCAGAAUCAAGAAAUUAAACCAUUUCCACUGGAUCCAGGAUCCCAACUCCAAUGAUCAGGAGAGAACACAAUGAAAUUUAGGGAAGUACGGUACUUCCGCGCUGCCGAAUCUCCAAGGAUAGUUUUCCAGAGUGAAAGUCAUUGAGAAGACUCAAGAGACCCCCUUCCAUUUCACAUACAUGGGAUACAUCAGUUAGGAAGGAGUGCUGAAGACUAGGCCCCGGAGUCACCACUUCACAGGGAGCAGCGGGCCGACCACG